rnacentral:tRNA from 1 species
GCUCACUUGGUGGAAUUGGUAGACACGACAGAUUCAAAAUCUGUUCUUUCGAGGUUAUCGGUUCAAGUCCGAUAGUGAGUA